UACGUAGGCAGCGAGCGUUGUUCGGAGUUACUGGGCGUAAAGGGUGCGUAGGCGGUUGUUUAAGUUUGGUGUGAAAUCUCCCGGCUCAACUGGGAGGGUGCGCCGAAUACUGAAUGACUAGAGUGCGGGAGAGGAGAGUGGAAUUCCUGGUGUAGCGGUGAAAUGCGUAGAUAUCAGGAGGAACACCGGUGGUGUAGACGGCUCUCUGGACCGUAACUGACGCUGAGGCACGAGAGCGUGGGUAGCAAACAGG
rnacentral:rRNA from 1 species